GCACUCUUAAGAAAAAAGGUUCUUUAAAGGUUCUGAAACGAUGGUAAAGGUUCUAUAUAGAACCAUAGCUUACUGAAGAACCAUUUUUUGCUGAAAUGGUUCUUUGUCUUGGCAAAAGGGUUCUUUAUUUCCCUCCUUUUUUUAUUUUAAAUUUAGUCAGUUAUUUUCAAGCUGCCUCCUGAUUAAUUUCACCUGUAAAAGCCCUGAAUCAUCAGUCCUGCUGAACCGCCUGCAGACUAACAUCACAAACAGGUAAGAGAGGAAAAUAAUCAUCAUUUACUGUUAAAAACAUUCUGAAAAUUGAAGUUUUGUGUGUUCUUAUUGUAAUUUAUUUAUUUUAUAACAGGUAAACUUUAUACUGAAAGCUUCAUUCCCUUUAAAGCAGAGUUUUUAUAUGUGAGGUCAUCUUGCUGGGAGUGAAGGCAGUGCAUAUGAACGCUUGAUAUUAUGAGAGACACAUACUGUAUUUAAAGGUCAACUUUAUACUGUAAGCUUCAUUCCAUUUAUAACAGAGUUUUCAUAUGUGAGGUAAUCUUGCUGGGAGUGAAGGCAGUGCGUAUGACCGCUUGAUACGAGAGACACAUUCUAUUUUUAAAGGUCAACAUACUGAUGACCAGGUGAUGGAGAUCUGUGUUAAUCACAGCCUGCGUCUCAAGAUCAACAUGACAACAGCAGACCAUUUCUUAUCUUACUCUUAUCUGACUAAAUGUUCAGCAUUAUUGAAACAAAACAAAGAACAUUGGAUGGAGUAUUGGAGUAUUGGAUGAUCCCGUAAAGAAAAUAAUAUGGACUUUUUUGGUGAGAUUCUACAAAGAUUGACACAAUCCUAUUGACUUUUAUUUUUACAGUUAAUAAUGCAUUAUAAACAUCCCAUUCAUUUGUAUUCUAUGUCAUCGAUCUGUUUGUGCUAAAAUGUAUACAUCUGAAUGUAAUGUCAAUAAUAUGUUAAUAUUCAGGAUUUAUUAUCAUUUGCAUGUUUUGAUGUUGCAUGUCAUGAUUUUAUUGAUUUCAUGUAAUUGUUGUCUAUUUAAAAUUAUUUUAAUUGCCAAAUUUUAUUGUUAAUUUAUUUAAUAUUGAAGCCGUUAUUUAACAUCCAUAUCUUAUUUGAGUAGUGAUUUGUUAUAUUUGCAUAAUAAUUCAUAUAUUUAUUCUGAUUGUGAUUUUAAUGCACAUAUUUAUUAUUGUAUGACACCUCAUGUAAUGAAAAAGUGAAAAUAAAAGUAUGUUCUGAAGUCUUGCAAUUCUGUUUUUAAACUGUUAAACCUUAUAAAGUGCAAUAAAUAAGUAAAAACAAAUAAAAAAUAAU